rnacentral:rRNA from 1 species
UACGUAGGGUGCAAGCGUUAAUCGGAAUUACUGGGCGUAAAGCGUGCGCAGGCGGUUAUAUAAGACAGUUGUGAAAUCCCCGGGCUCAACCCUGGGAACUGCAUCUGUGACUGUAUAGCUAGAGUACGGUAGAGGGGGAUGGAAUUCCGCGUGUAGCAGUGAAAUGCGUAGAUAUGCGGAGGAACACCGAUGGCGAAGGCAAUCCCCUGGACCUGUACUGACGCUCAUGCACGAAAGCGUGGGGAGCAAACGAGG